rnacentral:lncRNA from 1 species
GUUGCUCAGGCUGGUCUCGAACUCCUAACCUCAGGUGAUCCGCCCAGCUCAGCCUCCCAAAGUGCUGUGAUUACAGGCAUGAGCCACUGCGCCCAGCCUCAGAAUCUCAAGAAGGAGAAUGUGGUAGAAGAUACUGAGCAAUGGGAUAGUAAAGAGUUGGGGACAGAGUUAAGUUUUAUAAGGAAUUAGGGAUACGAGAAGCUCUAAGAGCCAAGAUUUGGGUUAUUCAAUUCAGAAUGGGGAAGGAACCUCAGCUUCAUGAUGGUAAAAAAUUCCACCACCUUUGCCCAGAAAAAAGUGAUUCACAUCCUGAUAUCACUGUGUACUCAGGGAAAUAGCUCCCCACAAGGCAUUGCAUUAGGGAGAAACUAUGGUGAGGAACAGUGAUGAGCAGGGCAUGAAGAGUGAUUGUCCUAAGCCAGAUGUGAUGUCAUGAGGGUGAACUCCAGGACCUCCUGUCCUUCAGGACGGUCCCACAGUCUCACUGACCACUGAGGCCAGAUGCAUAAAAGCUUUGCCUUCCCAGAGACUGAUCGGGGAAAAGGUACUGGCACAGCCUCUUCAGUUCCUGGCAUGGAAGGGCAGAGACUAGCCCACAUUGAAAGUGGCCUCUUUCAGUGUAGGGAUGAUGGGAGGAUCCUUGUGUCCUGGGCUACCCUAGGUCUCAUCUGAUCUUGCAUAGUGAAAGCUACUCAUGGGAGAACUCCGUUAGCCGGGAAGCCCUUAGAAUGGAAUCUUUCCUAACAUUGACUCCAGUUUCUGGAAGUAUAUGCCAUUCUUCUCCAUUCUCUGUAGCACUGUGGGCUUACCCUCUGAAGAGAAUGUUUGUUGGUUGCCACCUCAGCAUUACAACAUCCCAUUCCCUUCUUAAGGGUACCCUAAAUUUGUCAGCCAUAGAGUUUGAGUAGGAUUAGUCUUACCCCAGACCUCAGGAGUAGCCCAGGACACAAGGAUCCUCCCAUA